rnacentral:rRNA from 1 species
GAUCAUGGCUCAGGACGAACGCUGGCGGCGCGCCUAACACAUGCAAGUCGAACGAGCGAGAGAGAGUUUACUUUUUCGAGCGAGUGGCGAACGGGUGAGUAACGCGUGAGGAACCUGCCUCAAAGAGGGGGACAACAGUUGGAAACGACUGCUAAUACCGCAUAAGCCCACGACCCGGCAUCGGGUAGAAGGAAAAGGAGCAAUCCGCUUUGAGAUGGCCUCGCGUCCGAUUAGCUAGUUGGUGAGGUAACGG